UACGGAGGGUCCAAGCGUUAUCCGGAAUCAUUGGGUUUAAAGGGUCCGUAGGCGGCCAAAUAAGUCAGUGGUGAAAGCCCAUCGCUCAACGAUGGAACGGCCAUUGAUACUGUUUGGCUUGAAUUAUUAGGAAGUAACUAGAAUAUGUAGUGUAGCGGUGAAAUGCUUAGAGAUUACAUGGAAUACCAAUUGCGAAGGCAGGUUACUACUAAUGGAUUGACGCUGAUGGACGAAAGCGUGGGGAGCGAACAGG
rnacentral:misc_RNA from 1 species